rnacentral:rRNA from 1 species
UACGUAGGCAGCGAGCGUUGUUCGGAAUUACUGGGCGUAAAGAGUGUGUAGGCGGUGCUCUAAGUUCGGUGUGAAAUCUCCUGGCUCAACUGGGAGGGUGCGCCGGAAACUGGAGUGCUUGAGCGUGGGAGAGGAAAGCGGAAUUCCUGGUGUAGCGGUGAAAUGCGUAGAUAUCAGGAGGAACACCAAUGGCGAAGGCAGCUCUCUGGGCUUCACCCUGACGCUGAGGCGCGAAAGCGUGGGGAGCGAACGGG